rnacentral:rRNA from 1 species
CCAGGAGGUUGGCUUAGAAGCAGCCAUCCUUUAAAGAAAGCGUAAUAGCUCACUGGUCUAGUGGUUCUGCGCCGAAGAUGUAACGGGGCUAAGUAUGGUACCGAAGCCACGGGUCGAUUCUAAGGAAUCGGCGGUAGGGGAGCGUUCUCCUAAGGGAUGAAGGUAUGCCGUGAGGUAUGCUGGACUAAGGAGAAGUGAUAAUGCUGGCAUGAGUAACGAUAAAACGGGUGAGAAACCCGUUCGCCGUAAACCCAAGGUUUCCUGGGUAAAGCUAAUCUGCCCAGGGUUAGUCGGCCCCUAAGGCGAGGCCGAAAGGCGUAGCUGAUGGGAAACAGGUUAAUAUUCCUGUACCUGCUGGGUAGUCGUUUGAGCGAAGGGGGGACGCAGGAGGGUAGGUCAGCCACCUGUUGGAAUAGGUGGUUCAAGCCUGUAGGCUGGGGACUCAGGCAAAUCCGGGUCCCUGAUAAGGCUGAGAGGUGAUGACGAGUCAAUAAAGACGGAAGUGACUGAGCCCAUGCUGCCGAGAAAAGCCUCUAAGCGAGACUACCUGGUGGACCGUACCGCAAACCGACACAGGUGGGUGGGGUGAGUAACCCAAGGCGCUUGAGAGAACUCUGGCUAAGGAACUCGGCAAAAUGACCCCGUAACUUCGGGAGAAGGGGUGCUUUUUCGGGUGAAGGGAUUUACUUCUGGAGCCUGGGAGAGCCGCAGAGAAAUGGCGGGGGCGACUGUUUACUAAAAACACAGGUCUCUGCUAAGUCGUAAGACGAAGUAUAGGGACUGACGCCUGCCCGGUGCCGGAAGGUUAAGGGGAUCAGUUAGCCUUCGGGCGAAGCUGUGAACCGAAGCCCCGGUAAACGGCGGCCGUAACUAUAACGGUCCUAAGGUAGCGAAAUUCCUUGUCGGGUAAGUUCCGACCUGCACGAAUGGCGUAACGAUCUCCGCGCUGUCUCGGCCAGAGACUCAGUGAAAUUGAAAUCUCGGUGAAGAUGCCGAGUACCCGCAGCAAGACGGAAAGACCCUGUGCACCUUUACUACAGCUUGACAUUGGACUUUGGGCUAUCAUGUGUAGGAUAGGUGGGAGGCUGUGAAGCCGGUACGCCAGUAUCGGUGGAGCCGCCCUUGAAAUACCACCCUUGGUAGUCUAGGGUUCUAACCCAGAGCCGUGAAUCCGGUCUGGGGACAGUGUCUGGUGGGUAGUUUGACUGGGGCGGUCGCCUCCCAAAGAGUAACGGAGGCGUGCAAAGGUUCCCUCAGGCUGAUUGGAAACCAGCCGUUGAGUGCAAAGGCAUAAGGGAGCUUGACUGUGAGAGAGACAUCUCGAGCAGGGACGAAAGUCGGCCUUAGUGAUCCGGUGGUUCCGCAUGGAAGGGCCAUCGCUCAUCGGAUAAAAGGUACGCCGGGGAUAACAGGCUGAUCGCGUCCAAGAGUUCACAUCGACGACGCGGUUUGGCACCUCGAUGUCGGCUCAUCACAUCCUGGGGCUGGAGCAGGUCCCAAGGGU